CUCCUUAUUUUGCAAAGAAACGGAGGUCUGGAGGAACAAAGAAACCUAGAGAAAGAUAGAGCUUUGAGAGAAAACUGUGAGAGGGAGAGAUAAAAGCCGUCAAACCGAAAACGGUGGAGGGAGAGGGAAGAUUUUGGCAUGGGCUUACCGAAAAUCUGUGGGUUCGUCAGGGUUGGGCUGGUCGGCACUUUCUGGCACCGUGGGUGGUGCUCUGACGUCCUGGUGGUCGUCGACGGUGGCUGGGCAAAAUACGAGGCCUAUGCGAGGUUUCUAUUGAGUCCUACUACAGUGUGAAAGAGUCAUAGCUGUGACAUCUUGUGUGACCUUGGCAGCAGGAUUGGCUGCAAGACAGCCAUUCCCAUGGUUGCAUUCCAAAUUUGUUUACAGGUCUGGUUAACAUCAUCACUUCUUGCUGAUGGUUUGGCUGUUUCUGGACAGGCAAUCCUAGCUUAUGCUUUUACUGAGAAGGACCAUAAAAAGGCAAUUACAACUGCUAUCCUGGCAGCAUAGGUAAUUACAAUUGCGUCUUCUUAUUAUUCUUCCUCUGAUGACAGGGUAUAUUAAUACUGCAAAACUAUACCUCCCUUUUUUAAAUGAAUGGCAUUUCAAAUAUGGACUUGUUCGGCAUAUAUGGAUCAUUGGAAUGAUAUAUGCAUAUUAGCACCCCGAUGUAAUCUCUUGAAUGUUUGAUCAUAUGUUAGGUUUUGCUUUCUUGAUCAUGUGUUGUAUCAUGAGAGACAUAAAAAGAUAGGUGCCCACUGUUCCAACUUUAGUCGAUGCUUAAAUUAAACUUCUACAUCUUUGCUUUUUUAUUUCAUAGAAGCUGCCAAAUCCUGAAGUUUUUGGCUUGUGUGUUAAGAUAUUGUUGCCACCACAGUUUCCUUGGCUUAAUUCUCAUGCUUACGUUGCGGCUGUUAUAUUGCCUUCCAAUUUGUAUAUUCAGAUUCUAUGUUUUUUAGAAGAAAAUGCAUCUCAUUAGAAGACAAUGCUCUACGACAAAGAGUUCAACAUAAGUACAUAAUAUUCUCUAGGACAAGUUCAGUUAUUUGUAACAAUUAGCAACUGCAUAAUGCUUAUAUAAUACCUUUAUAACGUUAGUUUUCCACUUUUCCCAUUCAAGUUCAGUUAUUUCCCAUUGAAGUUUUGUUUUUACUUUUCAGUUUUUUUGAUGGUGAGAAUUUCAUGAUCCAUUUUAUGACAUUUUAUUUGGUUAUGUAGGUACAAAGUGCUGUCUAUGGCAAAGGCACAAUAGGAGUUUUUUUUUUUUUUUUGAUAAGUAUUAAGAUAUUUUAUUGAUGAAAGGAUAGACAUAGUCCAGGUACACUGGAAGUAUACAUGUGAAUACACCUAUUUAGGAACUAGUAACUGAUUCAAGGAAAUCAUGGAAGCUGAGACUAUUCAACUCUAAAGCUAUGGCCCACAUAAAUAAAGUCUUCCAAAAAAACCUCCUAAACUCUUCUAGAGAGCGUUCCUAAUCCUCAAAAAGUCUAUCGUUUCUUUCACUCCAAAUACACCAAAGAAUACAAAGAUGAGUCAUCUUCCAUACGGCCGCAAUCUGUGAUGUCCCCGUGAUUCCUCUCUAGCUUGCUAAUAGUUCUACCACCCUUCCCGGCAUGACCCAUGCUAUACCCAUUCUGCCGAAGAAAUAAUUUCAUGUUUCCUGAGCAAACUCACAAUGUAAAAGUAGAUGAUCCGUGGAUUCACCAUUAUUUCUGCACAUACAACACCAUUCUGUUAUGAUAAGGCCUCGUCUUCUUAGGUUGUCCAUAGUAAGAAUCUUCUCUGAUGCUGCUGUCCAUACAAAGAAUGCAACCUUGGUGGGUGCUUUGCUCCUCCAAAUGUUCUUGCAAGGAAAAUUAUUGUGUCUUUGAUGCAUAGUAAUUGUGUCAUAAAAGGAGCACACAGAAAAAUCUCAUUUCCUAGAAGGUCUCCAUACCAUCUUAUCUUCAUUUAUGGCAUCAAUAACAGUGUUAUACAGCAGGCUGAGAAACUCUACCAGCCAAGUCACUUCCCAAUCAUGUGCAUCCCGAGUAAGACUUAUGUUCCACUCGUGUCAUUGAUUAUUACCCACAAAUCAGCCACCAUAGCUUCUUUAUCCCGAGCAAUUAUGAAAAUGGUAGGAUAAGCAUCCUUUAAGACGGUGUCUCCCAUCCACACAUCAUGCCAAAAGUUGACCCUACUGCCAUCCCCCACACAUAGUCUAGUAUUCCUAGCAAAGAAACACCAACCUUUUCUUAUGUACUUCCAUAAGCCCACCCCAUAUGCCCCCUUCCCUUCCCUAGAACACCAACCCCCCCAUGUACUUCCAUACUUCAUGUUGAUCACCCCUCUUUAUAAAGCUCCACUCUCCUUAUUAUAAUGCCACAACCAUUUUCCUAGUAAUACCUCGUUAAAUGCCCUCACAUUACGGAUCCCCAAGCCUCCAUUUUUCAAAGGAGUACACCUUAUUCCACUCCACUAGGUGAAAUUUGAGCUCCUCACCUAAACCGCUUCACAAAAAGUCACAUUGAAGUUUUUCUAUUCUCGUUGCAAUGUUGGCGGGAAGAGGGAAUAGAGACAAGUAGUAUGUAGGAAGGUUGGAUAAAGUGCUCUUAAUAAGAGUGAUCCGCUUCCCUUUAGUUAAAUACAACAUUUUCCACCCGGCCAAUCUAUUAUCUAAUUUCUCCACCACCUCCUCCCAAAUGCACCUCACCAUUAAUGCAUAGUAUUCUGUAGUUAGUGCUUUGAACUUGUUACUGUUAUUUUUUAUUUAAAUACAACUACUAUUAUUCGUAUUAUUUGUUAUUUCAGUUUAUAGGACAAAUCCGAGAACAUGCCACUUAUAAUGGUAUAUUAUGUUAUAUCAUUAUCUAUUUUCAGUUUUGGUU